rnacentral:rRNA from 1 species
CCUACGGGCGGCAGCAGUGGGGAAUAUUGCACAAUGGGCGCAAGCCUGAUGCAGCCAUGCCGCGUGUGUGAAGAAGGCCUUCGGGUUGUAAAGCACUCUCAGCGGGGAGGAAGGCGUUAAGGUUAAUAACCUUGGCGAUUGACGUUACCCGCAGCAGAAGCACCGGCUAACUCCGUGCCAGCAGCCGCGGUAAUACGGAGGGUGCAAGCGUUAAUCGGAAUUACUGGGCGUAAAGCGCACGCAGGCGGUCUGUCAAGUCGGAUGUGAAAUCCCCGGGCUCAACCUGGGAACUGCAUUCGAAACUGGCAGGCUAGAGUCUUGUAGAGGGGGGUAGAAUUCCAGGUGUAGCGGUGAAAUGCGUAGAGAUCUGGAGGAAUACCGGUGGCGAAGGCGGCCCCCUGGACAAAGACUGACGCUCAGGUGCGAAAGCGUGGGGAGCAAACAGGAUUAGAUACCCUUGUAGUC